GUGAAUGGACAUCCCGGGUUAUUUCCAGUUUGGGAUCGUUAUAAACAAUGCUUGUUUAUGUGUCUGACUGCCUAUACAUGAGUUAAUAUUUAUCAAGAAGUGGAAUUUCUGGGUCAUAAGAAACAGGUCCCCCUAGGGCCACCUCUUGGGUCCUUCCCUGCUACUCACAGCUGGAUCUGCCCAGGCCCCCUCAUCAGAAGAACCCAGGAAGCCACCUCCCAGUGCUCACCUUGUAUCUCAGCUGCUUGAGUCAUGUGGCCUCAGGAGCCUGGGAAUUGAACUCAGGAUCUUGUGCUUGCCAGGGAGGCAGAGCACCACUGCACCACUGAACUACAUCCUUGACCCCAGGCCUAAUAAAAUUUUAAAACAGGAUCUGAAAUAAUCACACUCUUUUCAAGUAACUUAACUGCAUCCUUCAAUAAGACUAUUUAUAUGAAUACAUAUAUUCUUCAUUUAACGACUUACCUGUUUAAUAACUGUUGGACUUACAACCAAGGCAUGCUGUUUGGACUUAUGACCAUUUUAUUGUACAGUUCUGUACAUCUUAUUUACAGAGUCUCCAUGUCUUUUUUUGUAAAGUAUACCUUGUUUAUACAGUACUGCAAUUUUUGCUGAUUGUACCAUACAUUACAGUGCUAUAGUUUUAUGUUCAGUUAUACAUUACAGUAUUGCAUGGAAGAGUGAUGCAAAUAAAAGCAAAGUCAUCAAGUUGGAGUUUCUUUCAACCAUUUCUUUGUUCUGAAUAUUGUAACAUACACACCAUAUACAAUUCCUCAUUUAGCAUCUGAUUCAGGUAAUGACCUAGUUGCAGGACCAUGACUCAGUCAUCAAACAAGGAAUGUCUGUAGCCUGUUGUGUUUUAGGGACAUUCACUAGGCAUG
rnacentral:lncRNA from 1 species